AACGAACGCUGGCGGCGCGUCUUAACCAUGCAAGUCGAGCGGCAGGCAGCGAUGCCGAGAGCGGCGGACUGGUGAGUAACACGUGGAUAACGUACCCCGAUGUCCGGGACAGCCUGUAGAAAUAGAGGGUAAUACCGGAUAGAUCACUGUUUACGUGAGGUAGACAGCGGGAAAGGAGCUUCGGCUCCGCGACGGGAUCGGUCUGCGGCCCAUCAGCUGGACGGCGGGGUAAAGGCCCGCCGUGGCGAGGACGGGUAUCCGGCCUGAGAGGGCGGACGGACACAUUGGGACUGAGAUACGGCCCAGACUCCUACGGGAGGCAGCAGGUAAGAAUAUUCCGCAAUGGGGGGAACCCUGACGGAGCGACGCCGCGUGAACGAAGAAGGCCGGAAGGUUGUAAAGUUCUUUUCUGUCCGAGGAAUAAGUUUCGGAGGAAAUGCCGGGACGGUGACGGUAGGGCAGGAAUAAGCACCGGCUAAUUACGUG
rnacentral:rRNA from 1 species